GAUGAACGCUGGCGGCGUGCCUAAUACAUGCAAGUCGAGCGAACGGACGAGAAGCUUGCUUUUCUGAUGUUAGCGGCGGACGGGUGAGUAACACGUGGAUAACCUACCUAUAAGACUGGGAUAACUUCGGGAAACCGGAGCUAAUACCGGAUAAUAUUUUGAACCGCAUGGUUCAUAAGUGAAAGACGGUCUUGCUGUCACUUAUAGAUGGAUCCGCGCUGCAUUAGCUAGUUGGUAAGGUAACGGCUUACCAAGGCAACGAUGCAUAGCCGACCUGAGAGGAUGAUCGGCCACACUGGAACUGAGACACGGUCCAGACUCCUACGGGAGGCAGCAGUAGGGAAUCUUCCGCAAUGGGCGAAAGCCUGACGGAGCAACGCCGCGUGAGUGAUGAAGGUCUUCGGAUCGUAAAACUCUGUUAUUAGGGAAGAACAUAUGUGUAAGUAACUGUGCACAUCUUGACGGUACCUAAUCAGAAAGCCACGGCUAACUACGUG
rnacentral:rRNA from 1 species